GGGGGCGAGGGCGAGAGCGGUUUUUGUGCCGCCGGGCGGAGCCCUGGUCUCAAGCCCCAUGGCCGCGUCCCCCUUCCCGCGGAAGACAGUGGCCCUGGAGAAUCAUUGCUGGUCCAUCAGGGGAAGGGACGGGGCCGGCGGCGCGGGAGGGGUCGGUCCAGGGCCGCCCAGGGCCCGCGACGGGCGUACCCGCGCCCGCUGAGCCUUGGCUCUCGCACUGUCGCCACGCCCAGGAGGUUUCCGGUCACAGCACGUUUCUGGGCAUUUCAGUGCUUCCCAGGCUGUUCUCCAGCCGCCGCCCUUCCCUCCCUCGGCUGCUGGACCCCGCGCCCGAGGUGGGGAGGGACGUCGGGGUCGUGUCCCUUGGUGCUUGCUGGCCGGGCGGAGGCGUGGGGGGCACUCAGCGACCCCUAGCGGGAUCUACUGUGUGCCUGGUGCGGUGCGGGAGCACAAAACAGAAGAUAUAACAUCAUCUGGGCAUUCAGGACAAGAAGGCUUCCUGGAGGAAGAGGCAUCUCAUCGGAGCCCUGAAGAAUUCUGAGGAGGAGGAAGAGCUAGCAAAGGAACAAGGUGGGGGAGUGGGGAAGAAGCAGAAGGAGAAGAUGUUCUGCAGUGGGAAGAAGAGCAUGUGUGGCUGGCUGGGAGCAAAUUAUCGACUGGAAUGCUCGAAGAAUCGAGCCCCAGAGUGGCUGAAGAUGGUAUGAGAUGCAGAGAGGCACACGAUGUGACACCGAUUUUUCGCUCUCCAUGGAGCAGCUUACAGAGUGGAGCGCAGGGGAGAGAGGCCAGUCGGGUGAACCCUGUUGAUCUGCUGGUGAGAUCGUGCCCACCAGGCAUCUAUCUGCCUUACAGUGGUUACCAUGGAAACAUUAGAUCGUACACCGAGAAGCGUCUAGUCAGCCCCUCUGAUUAAAGAUGAUGACAAGGACGAGAUGGGGAAGAUGUACUGACUAUUCUACUGGCAGCAGGGUAAAACGGAUUCUAACCAUUUUAAGGGUAUGGUUCUGUGGCAGUAAGUACAUUCAUAAUAUUGUGCAGCGAACACCACCACCCAUCUCCAGGAAUCUCUCGUCAUUCUCUUAAGCUGAAAAUCUGUACCCAUUACAACUCCCGUUUCCCCUUUCCCUCCCCAGACCCCGGGGAGUAUUGUUCUACUUUCUGUCUCUAUGACUUUGUCGACUCUGGGUACACGGAACCCUCCAUACGUACAUAGUGGAAUCAUACAAUAUGUGUCGUUUUGUGCCUGGCUUAUUUCACUUAGCACGAUGUCUUCAAGGUUCAUCUGUGUUGUGGCAUGUGACAGCAUUUCCUUCCUUCCUUUGUAAAGUUGAAUAAUAUUCCAUUGUACUUAUAGACCACAUUUUGUUUAUCCAUUUAGUGUUGAUGGAAACUUGGGUUCUUUCCGCCUUUUGGCUAUUAUAAAUAAUGCAGCUAUAAAUAUGGGUAUACUGGAAACCUCCUUUGUAGACAUGGAUUAUUGGUAUUUAGUGAGGAAGACAGACUUCUGGCUGAUGGGUUUCAAGUAAAAGGGAAAGAAAAUAGGGAGAAAGAAAUGUUUUCCCUAAAAGUCAACUCUAAGUACUCUUUGUGCCUGACUACUUUAUGAGCUUAUUCUAGGUAGUGCUCUCCUUUGCUGUUGUCCUGAGUAUGGUCUGUCAAGACCGCAAGUGGGUCCAACUUGAGUUAACGUGACAGACGGAGCAGACCAUCUUUCUCUUCAAGACACAGAUUUGCCUUGGGACACUUCUCCUGGGGGAAUUCUUUGGGCUUCUCAGAAAACUGCCGAAAGGCCAGCUGGAUUGUUCCACCAUCUACAAGAAUAUAGGCUCCAUGAUGGCAGGAUUGUGUCUAUUCUGUCUGUUUUAUUAACUAGUGAAUCUCCAGCACCUGGCACUCAAAAUUUGUCCAAUGAGCGAACGUGUCUUCCGCUGAUCGGGCCCUCCGUGCACUCCUAGGCAAGUCUUAGCUCAGGAAAAGAAGAGGCCACUCGACCAGAAGCAGACUCAGAGCUUGUCUGAUUGUUGUCUGACAUGCGAGUGUCCUUGGCUUGUCCCUUGUACUUCCUGGUUUUUUAUCGCUCAGCUGAUGGAAAUGACACCUGCUUGGACUGACCUUACCAGGUGUCAUGAGCAUCGAGGGGCUCACGUAAAUAAAAGUGCUGUACGAAUGAAUACCAUUAUUGGAUCUAGCCCUGGACUCUCUUUGGGACACCAGUCUUGCAUCGGCAACUAACCUGUCAGCUGCAGGCACCUCUCACAUCUCAGCACCUCCCCAAAAGCAGCACCCUCUCCCAACUUCCCACUUUUCCUCACUGUAUUGCUAUUUUCUCAGUCUUUUUGCUUGCAACUCGAGCCCCAUUUAGCUCCUCCCUCUCUCGGGCAUCCCCUCUCCUGCCCUUUGUCUGGCUACUUCUUUUCUUUGGUAGCCCUGGUUUCUUCUGCCGCCACACCUCAACAGGAGUCCCUCCCUUUAGUCUGACCACUGCCAAAGCCUUGACCAUCUUCUGCCUCUUGACUUUUUUCCUGCCGACGGGCAGCUCCGGUUCAUCAUGCCUCUACUCCGAAAUGACUAACGAUGCUCAGACACACAAGGAUGUCUACUAUCAAAAACAGAAAGUAACAAAGCUGGCGAGGAUGUGGAGAAAUCGGAAGCCUCAUGCACAGUGGGUGGGAAAGCACCAUGGCACAGCCACUAUGGAAAACACUGUGGUGAUUCCUCAAAAACUUAAAGCUAGAACUUCGGUAUGAUGCAGCAAUCCUGCCUCUGGGUAUAUAUGCCAAAGACUUAAAAGCAGGGACUCAAAGAGAUAUUUGCACACCCAUGUUCGUGGCAGCAUUAUUCAUGAUAGCCAAAGGGCGGAAGUAACACAAGUGUUUAUCAACAGACAAAUAGGUAGGGCGCUGGGUGGCUCAGUUGGUUAAGCGACUGCCUUCGGCUCAGGUCAUGAUCCUGGAGUCCCGGGAUCGAGUCCCACAUCGGGCUCCUUGCUCGGCGGGGAGUCUGCUUCUCCCUCUGACCCUCCCCACUCUCAUGUGCUCUCUCUCUCAUUCUCUCUCUGUCAAAUAAAUAAAUAAAAAUCUUAAACAAAACAAAACAAAACAAAAAACAGACAAAUAGGUAAACAAAA